rnacentral:tRNA from 1 species
GUCCCCUUCGUCUAGUGGCCUAGGACACCGCCCUUUCACGGCGGUAACAGGGGUUCGAGGCCCCUAGGGGACGCCA